AUUGAACGCUGGCGGCAUGCCUUACACAUGCAAGUCGAACGGGGUUGAGGAGCUUGCUCUUCAACUUAGUGGCGAACGGGUGAGUAACAUAUCGGAACGUACCUUUCAGUGGGGGAUAACGCAGCGAAAGUUGCGCUAAUACCGCAUAUUCUGUGAGCAGGAAAGCAGGGGAUCGCAAGACCGUGCGCUGAUUGAGCGUCGGAUAUCAGAUUAGCUAGUUGGGGGGGUAAAGGCCCACCAAGGCGACGAUCUGUAGCGGGUCUGAGAGGAUGAUCCGCCACACUGGGACUGAGACACGGCCCAGGCUCCUACGGGAGGCAGCAGUGGGGAAUUUUGGACAAUGGGCGCAAGCCUGAUCCAGCCAUGCCGCGUGAGUGAAGAAGGCCUCCGGGUUGUAAAGCUCUUUCGCGAGGGAAGAAAACGCACUCGUUAAUACCGGGUGUGGAUGACGGUACCUUGAUAAGAAGCACCGGCUAACUACGUGCCAGCAGCCGCGGUAA
rnacentral:rRNA from 1 species